rnacentral:rRNA from 1 species
AUACGUAGGGUGCGAGCGUUGUCCGGAAUUACUGGGCGUAAAGAGCUCGUAGGUGGUUUGUCGCGUCGUCUGUGAAAUUCCGGGGCUUAACUCCGGGCGUGCAGGCGAUACGGGCAUAACUUGAGAACUGUAGGGGAGACUGGAAUUCCUGGUGUAGCGGUGAAAUGCGCAGAUAUCAGGAGGAACACCGGUGGCGAAGGCGGGUCUCUGGGCAGUAACUGACGCUGAGGAGCGAAAGCAUGGGUAGCGAACAGGAUUAGAUACCCUGGUAGUCCAUGCCGUAAACGGUGGGCGCUAGGUGUAGGGGUCUUCCACGACUUCUGUGCCGUAGCUAACGCAUUAAGCGCCCCGCCUGGGGAGUACGGCCGCAAGGCUAAAACUCAAAUGAAUUGACGGGG